AUGAAGGACCUGGUGUCGUGCUUCAGCGAGCACGCCGUCAGGAUCUCCGACGUCGCCUGCUCCGGCUCCGCCGCCGCCAAUGCGGCCGCGGCGGCCACGACGGGGACGGCCGACGGCGGGGGCAGGGCGGCGGGGAUCAGCGCGGUCACCACCGUGUACCGCUCGCGCCUCUCGGCGUCCGGCAAGGACCUGCUCGUCGACGUCACGUGGGCGCGCUCGCCGGACGGCCCCGCGCUCUCCGUCGCCGUCCACGACGCCGGCGCCCCGCGGCACCGGGCCGCCGCCGCCGCCGCCCCGCGCCACCUGCACAGGCGGAAGGGGAGCGGCACCUUCACCGCGGGCAGCUGCGUGGUGGGCGUCUUUUGGGACUACGCGGCGGCGCGGUACGGCGCGGGGCCCGAGCCCGUCUCCGGGUUCUACGUCGCCGUGGUCGCCGACGCCGAGUUCGUGCUCCUGCUCGGCGACAUGAGCCGGGGCUACGUGGAGCGGCUGCACGGCGGGAUACCGGUGGCCGAGUCGCGGAUGGCGCGGCGGCGGGAGCGGUUCGUCGGGUGCGGGUGCUGGCACACCAGGGCGCGCUUCCUGGAGUCCGGCGCGGAGCACGAGAUCGGCGUCGGGCUGGAGGGCGACACGGAGGCGUGGGUCACCGUGGACGGCCGGAAGGUGGUGCAGCUGCGGCGGCUGCGGUGGAACUUCCGCGGCAGCCACACCCUCAUCCUGGACGGCGGCGCGCCGGUGGACAUGACGUGGGACCUCCACGGCUGGCUCUUCCACGCGAUCGACCCCUCCGCCUCCUCGUCCAGCGCCGUCUUCACGUUCCACGCGCGCGGUGCGUCGGAGACGAGGCUGUGGAUGGACGACGACGACGGCGCCGCCAGCAGCAGCGGCGAAAGCGACAAGGAGCACGACAAGCCUCUGGCGCCGGCGCCGGCGCGCGGCCAGCGACAGAAGCAGGGGCCGUCAGGGCAGGGGUUCUGCCUGCUCAUCCAGGGCUUCAGGAGAUCCUCCAAGACCACCUGA
rnacentral:rRNA from 1 species